AUGUACCACUCGUACGCUGCGGUUCUGAGCGUGCCGUCCAUGCCCACCUGACGACUGCUCGCUACGUUUGGUAGUA
rnacentral:sRNA from 1 species